UACAGAGGUCUCGAGCGUUAAUCGGAGUCACUGGGCUUAAAGGGUGCGUAGGCGGACCCGCAAGUGCUUUGUGAAAUCCCACGGCUCAACCGUGGAAUGGCUUGGCAGACUGCGGGUCUUGAGGUUGGUAGGGGUCGCCGGAACUCUAGGUGGAGCGGUGAAAUGCGUAGAUAUCUAGAGGAACGCCAAAGGUGAAGACAGGCGACUGGGCCAAGUCUGACGCUGAGGCGCGAAAGCGUGGGGAGCGAACGGG
rnacentral:rRNA from 1 species